rnacentral:rRNA from 1 species
CACCGGCGGCCCGAGUGGUAACCGUUUUUAUUGGGUCUAAAGGGUCUGUAGCCGGCCAAGUAAGUCCUUUGGGAAAUCUGGUAGCUCAACUAUCAGGCUGCCAGGGGAUACUGCUUGGCUUGGGACCGGGAGAGGUGAGAGGUACCUCGGGGGUAGGGGUGAAAUCUUGUGAUCCUCGAGGGACCACCAGUGGCGAAGGCGUCUCACCAGAACGGGUCCGACGGUAAGGGACGAAAGCUAGGGGCACGAACCGGAUUAGAUACCCGGGUAGUCCUAGCCGUAAACGAUGCUCGCUAGGUGUCAGUCACGGUGCGACCGUGAUUGGUGCCGUAGGGAAGCCGUAAAGCGAGCCACCUGGGAAGUAUGGCCGCAAGGCUGAAACUUAAAGGAAUUGGCGGGGGAGCACUACAACGGGUGGAGCCUGCGGUUC